CCCCUCUUAGAGUCGCAUCUGGAGAGUUUCCAGUCCUCUACCAGUCUCGGCUACAGGAGGAAAAGUCAGGCAGAGGCCUGUCCAUUCCAUUCCUAGGUUGGCCAGUGGCUAGUGAGUGGCAGGCCAUCUGCUACAAGU
rfam:Ornithorhynchus anatinus chromosome 4, whole genome shotgun sequence.